rfam:Oryza brachyantha chromosome 4, whole genome shotgun sequence.
AAUAACCUCAUUUUUCGUUUUUCCGUGUCCAACGUUGGACCAUUCGUCUUAUUUGAAAUUUUUUUGCGAUUAAUAUUUUUAUUAUUACUAGAUAAUAAAAUAUAAAUAGUACUUUAUAUGUGACUAAUUUUUUUAUGUUUUGUACAAAUUUUUCAAAUAAGACGAAUGGUUAAACGUUGGACACGGAAAAACGAAAAAUGGGCUUAUU